rnacentral:tRNA from 1 species
UGGGUUGUAGCUCAGCGAUAGAGUGCUUGCCUAGCACCCAUGAGACACUGGGUUUGAUCCCCAGCACCACAA